CACCCCUUACCGUUCUUAAUACUUAAUAUACUAUUACGCGCUUGUCUCUAAAAACGUGCCAUUUCGAAAUUAAAAUGACAAUCAAAAUGUCCACCUUAGAUAAGUUGGUAGCGAUUGUAAAAAAAAAACAAUUUUUGGAUUGCAACUCUGUGGUUAAAAAUGAAUGUUUGUUUGUCCCGUAAGCGUUCGUAAGCCAUUCAUCCGACUGCCCUGAAAUUUUGUGCUGCAAUUGAGAAGCAAACGUACAGUGUAAAUUUGUGAAAAAAUGUUAAGCAAAACCACUGCACUUCACAUAAACUGCAGGAUAUAAUAUCUUCGUGCCGAAUGCACACAAACCACAACAAAUAAACUUAACCUCAAAAAGAGGGGGUAGUUGAAAUUAUGAAAAGAAAACGUACCUCUAUAUUCCUUCUCAACACUUUCAGAAAACCAAAUUCAGGGACUAAACUAUUAAACAGAAAUACGUAUCUCUGCAAGUGCUAAGCUGUUUAAACUCUAACGGCAACAGCAUGUCACGAACAACACAACCAUAGAACAAGCAGGCGACGGAACAAACCAAGAACACAACCAUAGAACAUAACCAGAGAACCACAACACAGUAGAUCAGUAACGAAACUUCAGCAAUAUUUGCGGAACGGGUGUGACCUUGGGAGCCCGUUCCCGGGAAACACGAAGAUUCAAAUAUUUCGUAGCAUUCGUAUGUGAUUCAUAUAAUACUAAUAAUUGUACACAAAAAUAAAAAUGGUUGGCAUGUACUAGUGA